GGCACGGUGGCGUAGUGGUUAGCACUGUUGCCUCACAGCAAAAAAGUUGUGGGUUUGAACCCGACCUGGGGCC